CCCACCUUGGCCUCCCAAAGUGCUGGGACUACAGGCAUGAGCCACUGUGCCCAGCCAAGGCUUUUCAACUACACUUUGUAUCCUACUCAUCUUAUGCAUUCUGAUGCUUUUGCAUCUACCUAAUACUGCCUAAUCUUAGUUUAUCUUUUAUAAGAUUUCUUUCACAACACUUACAAAUAUAGCCUGGUCUCUAUUCUUCCUGAAUAACAACUUCUAGUAUAAAAACAAAAAGCAAUAGAAACAAGGAUGCAUUUAUUUAACUUUAAUACAACAUCGACUAAAUAAAGAAAUUUAACAAUACUAAAAGAUAGAAUGCAAUAAUGCUUAUAUUUCCUUUGGUGAUCAAAUGUUAACACAUAAUUUUAAUACCUUAUGCAGUAAUGUUUCUAUCGAAAUGUGUCUGGUUUUUUUUUUUUUUUUUUUUGAGACAUGGUCUCACUCUGUCACCCAGGCUAGAGUGCAGUGGUGCAAUCUGGGCUCACUGCAAGCCUUUGCCUCCCAGGCUCAAGCGAUCCUCCCACUUCAGCCUCCUGAGUAGCUGGGACUAUAAGCGUGCGCCACCACACCCAGCUAAUUUUUGUAUUUUUUACAGGGAUGGGGUUUUGUCCAGGCUGGUCUCAAACUCUUGAGCUCAAGCGAUCUGCCUGUCUUGGCCUCCCGAAGUGCUGGGAUUGCAGGCAUGAGCCACGCGCCCACCCAUGAGAUACCUUUCAUUCAAGCUUGACAGCAGCACCUGCAGGGAGAAAAGAAAAUUGAACUGCUCUCUCUACCUACUUCAGCCUCCCAAGUGCUGAGAUUACUGGCAUGAACCACCACACCUGGACGAUUUCUGUAUUAACAAUGGAAACUUAAUAUUAGAAGAGAAUGCAUCUUUAUUGAGUUACAUACCUUUGAGGAGCAAAUGAGCUAAUAAUCGCCCUCCAUGUUUAUAUUAUUGAUAAUAGAAUAAUUAUAUUUAUUGUAUGCUAGGCACCAUGCUAAUGCUUUAUUUUCACAAGACCCUAUAAAGUAAUAUCAGUUUGUGGGCUUUUUUUCUGAGACAGGGUCUCGCUCUACUGCUUUAAAAAAAAAAAAGUAUAUUAUCAGCUAUGUAAAUUGUGAAAGAUAGUUUCAAAGUGGUGUAAAACACACAAUUCUUCCUUGAAACAAAAAAUAUAACAAAGCCUAGGAAAGCCAUCACAACCUACCAUUACCACAUCCUAAUCAUAUGUCUCCCUCCUUAAUUAUUGUUUCCAAACUUAAACUCCUGGUUGUGCGUGUAUCCCAGUGUUACCUGUCUAUGUUAACUUGGAGUCAAGUUCUUUGCCUCAUUGCUGGUUUCCCAAGAUCUAGUACAAAACUUGGCACAAAACAUGCUCAAUAAACGAUCACUGAAUUGAAAUAAACCUCCUUUACAUACCUUGGAGGCACAAAUAACAUAAGGUAUGCAAAAGUACUUUGGAAACUAUCAAGCACCAUACGAGAGCUGGUUAUUACCAGAAUGCCACCAGAGAACAGCAUCUCACCAUUGGCUGUCCUUUGUAAAUUCUAUUACUGGCAUAUAUAAAUCAUUGGAUCAUUAAUGCCCAUGUCACAUAUGGCCAAAUUUUACUCUAAUAAUUUUAUUCUUCACCUGUCAUUUCUAAACAACCUCUCCCAAACAAAAGAUGUCCCCAAUUUAAAAUACUAUUUCAAUCAUGAGAUCCAAAUAACUAAAUCUAUAGCAACAUAACUGCAUAAUAGAUAGCUCCAAAAAUCAUGGACUUCUUUCCCAUGGAAUAAAAGCUUUCCUACACUGCAGCCAAUCUGACACCACACUUAAUACUGAGUACAUUCCUGUUAAAGGCUUGCUGAAUUUUAAGAAAACAUAAACCCCAUACUCAAACUGUACAAGAUAAAAUUUGCUUAAGGGUAUGUGUAGACAAAUGAAACAAAUUAGUCAGCUCUCUGUCCUGCCCCUUCUCAGAACCCAACUUCCCUGGUCUUUGCAGUUCUGAGUCGCCCUAAUCUUCAGGUUCAACCCUUCCCACAACUACCACUUCCAGAGUUAAUCCUGACCCCCAAGCAACUCAUUGUUCCACCCAUCAGUCUACUGAGCAAACAUUCAUUAACUACUGUGUGUCAGGCGCUAUACUAGGCUUGAGAACAUCUAUGGCUUUAUGGUUAAUUGCGGUCUCUAUAAGGGUAAGUCUCACAUUCUUCUUCUUCUUUAACGUUGUCUUAACCAUUCCAGGCUCUUGCCUUUUCAUAUAAAUUUUGGGUUAAGCUUUUCAAGUUCUAAGGAAAGUCAUUAGGUAUACCAUUUAAUUUAUAAUUUGGAGAGAAUUAAUUUUUUUCUUUUUUAAAUUUUAUAGUCUUUAUUAUUGAAACAUUGCGUUUCCAAAUCACAGUGGUUUCUACUGACAAAGUGCCUACAAUUCAUUUCUUUAUUAAUUACAAACAUUUCAGAGUAAUUACACAGCACUUUAUCUUGUGCCAGCCAAACCUCACAACAAUGCUAGGAGGUAAGCUGUCACACCUACAGUUUGUUUUUCCCUCUAAAGGAGAAGGCAGGGAAAGAAAGUCUUUUGCAGAGUUAUACAAAUAUUUGGCAAAAUUCAGAACAAAUCUGAGAGGGCUAUUGAUAAGAAGCUCUUUUCAUUAUAGACAUUCAUUCUAUCCAUGAAUGAGAGAAAAAAGAGAAUGGAAGAUUUAUGCAUUACUUCAAUUGGAGAAAUGAGAUAGGAGAGUGGCUAACACAAAAAUCCCUAAAUAUUGUUUUAGAAAGUAUGAAAAGUGGACUGGGUGUGGUGGCUCACGCCUAUAAUCCCAGUAUUUUGGGAGGUCGAAGUCGGCAGAUCACCUGAAGUCAGGAGCUCCAGACAGCCUGGCCAACAUGGUGAAACCCCGUCUCCAAUAAAAAUACAAAAAAAAUUAGCCAGGCAUGGUGGCACAUGCCUGUAAUCCCAGCUACUCAAGAGGCUAGGGCAGAAGAAUUGCUUGAAACUGGAAGGUGGAAGUUGCAGUGAGCUGAGAUCGCGCCACUGCACUUCAUCCUGGGCAAUAAGAAUAAAACUCUGUCUCAAAAAAAAAAAAAAAGUAUGUAAAGUGGCAUUUUUAUCCCACUUUGUACACUGCUUAUAUCUUACCUAUGCAGCUCAUCCAAUAUCUCAUUGCAUCUGACAAUUAUUUUUGACUACCUUUUAAAAAGAUGGAAAUGAACCAAUUUCAUAAUUCAUUUACUUAUAAAUACAUCUUUAUACAAAGGGGAAGGGCCUAAAAGACUAUUACAGAACCAAUUUUUUUUAAAAAUUGAAAAUUACACAUUACCACCAGAUAGCAUUUUCCCAGAUAGGACUUUGAGUAGGCCGGGCGCGGUGGCUCACAUCUGUAAUCCAGGCACUUUGGAAGGCUGAGAUGGAAGGAUUGUUUGAACCCAGGAGUGUGAGACCAGCCUGGGCAACAAGGUGAGACCCCCGUCUCUACAAAAAAAUUUAAAACUUAGGCAUGGUGGCACACGCCUGUAGUCCCAGCUACUGGGGAGGCUGAGGCAGGAGGAUUACUUGAGUUCAGGAGUUUGAGGCUGCAGUGAGCUAUGAUGGGAUGGCAUCACUGCACUCUAGCCUGGAUGACAGAGCAAGAUCCUGUCUCUAUGUUAAGUAAGUAAGUAAAUAAAUAAAUAAAUAUUGACUGGGCGCGGUGACUCACACCUGUAAUCCCAACACUUAGGGAGGCCAAGGUGGGUGGAUCAUGAGGUCAGGAGUUCGAGGCCAGCCUGGCCAACGUAGUCUCUACUAAAAACACAAAAAUUAGCCAGGCACGGGGGUGCAUGCCUGUAGUCCCAGCUACUCAGGAGGCUGAGGCAGGAGAAUCGCUUGAACCUGGGAGGCAGAGGUUGUAGUGAGACAAGAUCAUGCCACUGCACUCCAGCCUGGGCAAAAGAUUGAGACACCAUCUCAAAAUAAAUAAAUAAAUAAAUAGGCCUGGUGUGGUGGCUCACGCCUAUAAUUCCAGCACUUUGGGAGGCUGAGGCCAGUGGAUUACCUGAGGUCAGGAGUUCAAGACCAGCCUAGUCAACAUGGUGAAACCCCAUCUCUACUAAAAAUACAAAAAAUUAGCUGGGUGUUGUGGUGGGCACCUGUAAUACCAGCUGCUCAGGAGGCUGAGGCAGAAGAAUCACUUGAACCCAGGAGGCAGAGGUUGCCGUGAGCCAAGAUCACGCUAUUGCACUCCAGCCUGAGCAACAAGAGUGAAACUCUAUCUCAAAAUAAAAUAAAAAUAAAUACUUCUACUUUGUUUAUAACUAAGUUUGCAAUAAAAGAUGUAUAAGGGUUGGGCGUGGUGGCUCACGCCUGUAAUCCCAGCACUUUGGGAGGCUGAGGUGGGUGAAUCACCUGAGGUCAGGAGUUCGAGACCAGUCUGGCCAACAUAGUGAAACCCUGUCUCUACUAAAAAUACAAAAAUUAACCAGGCAUGGUAGUGCACACCUGUAGUCCCAGCUACUUGGGAGGCUGAGGGAGGAGAAUUGCUUGAAUCCAGGAGGUGGAAAUCACAGUGAGCUGAGAUCACACCACUGCACUCCAGCCUGGGUGACAGAGUGAGACUCCAUCUCAAAAAUAAAUAGAUAGAUAGAUAGAUAGAUAGAUAGAUAGAUAGAUAGAUAGAUAGGCCAGGCUCAGUGGCUCACUCCUGUAAUCCCAGCACUUUGGGAGGCUGAGGUGGGUGGAUCACCUGAGGUCACGAGUUGGAGACCAGCCUGGCCAAUACAGUGAAACCUUGUCUCCACUAAAAAUACAAAAAUUAACCAGACGUGGUGGUGCACGCCUGUAGUCCCAGCUAUUUGGGAGGCUAAGGCAGGAGAACUGUUUGAACCCAGGAGGUGGAGGUUGCAAGUGAGCUGAGAUCGCACCACUGCACUCCAGCCUGGGUGACAGAGCGAGACUCCAAAAAAAAAAAAAACAAAGUACAAGGUCAGGAAUGGUGGUUCAUGUGUGUAAUCCCAGCAAUUUGGGAGGGUGAGGAAGGAGGAUCACUUGAGUCUAGGAGUUCAAGGCUGCAAUGAGCUGUGACUACACCACUGCACUCCAGCCUGGGUGACAGAAUGAGAGUCUGUCUCUGAAAAAAAAAGAAAGUCCAUGCUAGGCUGAAGGAACCAGAGGUGCAAAGGCCCUCAGGGCAGAACUCUGUAUUUUUGCCAUAGGAGAAUUUUGAGCAAAAAAGUGUAAAUAUUUUCAAAGAAUUAAAUUCUUGGACUGGGUGCAGUGGUUCAUGCCUAUAAUCCCAACACUUUGAGAAGCCAAGGCAAGAGGAUCACUUUAGUCCAGGAAUUCAAGACCAGCCUGGUUAACAAAGUGAGACCUUGUCUCUACAAAAAAUUAUACAAAAAUUCAAUAAUUAGCCAGGUGAUAAUUGUUAGUGGGUGGUAUGUGCCUGUAGUCCCAGCUCCUGGAGAGGCUGAGGUAGUGGGAGGAUAGCUUGAGCCCAGGAGGUUGAGACUGCAGUAAGCAAAGGCCUUGCCACUGCAUUCCAGCCUGGGCAAUAGAGCAAGACUCUGUCCCUAAAAAAAAAAAAAGAAAUUAUUGCAUUCCAGAAUAAAUCCUCCUUGUCUAUUGUAUAUUAUUUUAUUAUUUAUGUAUUUUGGGACAGUUUCACUCUUAUUGCCCAGGUUGAAGUGCAAUGGCACGAUCUCGGCUCACUGCAACCUCCACCUCCUGGGUUCAAGCGAUUGUCCUGCUUCAGCCUCCCGAGUAGCUGGGAUUAUGCCCAGCCAAUUUUUUGUAUUUUUAGUAGAGACGGGGUUUUCUCAUGUUGGCCAGGCUGAUAUCGAACUCCAGACCUCAGAAGACCCACCUGCCUUGGCCUCCCAAAGUGCUGGGAUUACAGGUGUGAGUCACUGCACCCAGCCUCAUACAUUAUUUUAGUACACUGCCAAAUUUGUAAGAAUUUUACUUCUCUUCCUUUUUUU
rnacentral:lncRNA from 1 species